GAUGAACGCUGGCGGCGUGCCUAAUACAUGCAAGUCGAGCGAACGGACGAGAAGCUUGCUUCUCUGAUGUUAGCGGCGGACGGGUGAGUAACACGUGGAUAACCUACCUAUAAGACUGGGAUAACUUCGGGAAACCGGAGCUAAUACCGGAUAAUAUUUUGAACCGCAUGGUUCAAAAGUGAAAGACGGUCUUGCUGUCACUUAUAGAUGGAUCCGCGCUGCAUUAGCUAGUUGGUAAGGUAACGGCUUACCAAGGCAACGAUGCAUAGCCGACCUGAGAGGGUGAUCGGCCACACUGGAACUGAGACACGGUCCAGACUCCUACGGGAGGCAGCAGUAGGGAAUCUUCCGCAAUGGGCGAAAGCCUGACGGAGCAACGCCGCGUGAGUGAUGAAGGUCUUCGGAUCGUAAAACUCUGUUAUUAGGGAAGAACAUAUGUGUAAGUAACUGUGCACAUCUUGACGGUACCUAAUCAGAAAGCCACGGCUAACUACGUGCCAGCAGCCGCGGUAAUACGUAGGUGGCAAGCGUUAUCCGGAAUUAUUGGGCGUAAAGCGCGCGUAGGCGGUUUUUUAAGUCUGAUGUGAAAGCCCACGGCUCAACCGUGGAGGGUCAUUGGAAACUGGAAAACUUGAGUGCAGAAGAGGAAAGUGGAAUUCCAUGUGUAGCGGUGAAAUGCGCAGAGAUAUGGAGGAACACCAGUGGCGAAGGCGACUUUCUGGUCUGUAACUGACGCUGAUGUGCGAAAGCGUGGGGAUCAAACAGGAUUAGAUACCCUGGUAGUCCACGCCGUAAACGAUGAGUGCUAAGUGUUAGGGGGUUUCCGCCCCUUAGUGCUGCAGCUAACGCAUUAAGCACUCCGCCUGGGGAGUACGACCGCAAGGUUGAAACUCAAAGGAAUUGACGGGGACCCGCACAAGCGGUGGAGCAUGUGGUUUAAUUCGAAGCAACGCGAAGAACCUUACCAAAUCUUGACAUCCUUUGACAACUCUAGAGAUAGAGCCUUCCCCUUCGGGGGACAAAGUGACAGGUGGUGCAUGGUUGUCGUCAGCUCGUGUCGUGAGAUGUUGGGUUAAGUCCCGCAACGAGCGCAACCCUUAAGCUUAGUUGCCAUCAUUAAGUUGGGCACUCUAAGUUGACUGCCGGUGACAAACCGGAGGAAGGUGGGGAUGACCUCAAAUCAUCAUGCCCCUUAUGAUUUGGGCUACACACGUGCUACAAUGGACAAUACCAAAGGGCAGCGAAACCGCGAGGUCCAGCAAAUCCCAUAAAGGUGUUCUCACUUCCGAUUGUAAUCUGCCACUCCACUACAUGAAGCUGGGAAUCCCCAGUAAUCCUAAAACAACCAUGCUUCCGUGAAUACCUUCCCCGGGGU
rnacentral:rRNA from 1 species